UUGCAGCCAAUUAAGCCGACUGUGCUCUUUUCCCCAUGGGGGCCCAGUGUGCCAUCUUGCUGCCAACAGCAGCCUCCUUGGUAGUGUAUGCAACUUGUUGCCUGUACAGGUUGCCCUAAGGGACCUUGGAGACAACU
rnacentral:snoRNA from 1 species